rnacentral:rRNA from 1 species
UACGGGGGGGGCUAGCGUUGCUCGGAAUCACUGGGCGUAAAGCGCACGUAGGCGGAUUGCUAAGUCAGGGGUGAAAUCCUGGAGCUCAACUCCAGAACUGCCCUUGAUACUGGCGGUCUCGAGUCCGGGAGAGGUGAGUGGAACUGCGAGUGUAGAGGUGAAAUUCGUAGAUAUUCGCAAGAACACCAGUGGCGAAGGCGGCUCACUGGCCCGGUACUGACGCUGAGGUGCGAAAGCGUGGGGAGCAAACAGG